GAUGAACGCUAGCGGCAGGCUUAAUACAUGCAAGUCGUGGGGCAGCGCAGUGUAGCAAUACAUGGGCGGCGACCGGCAAACGGGUGCGUAACACGUACGCAACCUUCCCGUUACUGGGGAAUAGCCCAGGGAAACUUGGAUUAAUACCCCAUAUUAUAUUGAUUGGGCAUCUAAUUACUAUCAAAGCUUCGGCGUUAACGGAUUGGCGUGCGGUUGAUUAGGUAGUUGGCGGGGUAACGGCCCACCAAGCCUACGAUCAAGAGCUGAUGUGAGAGCAUGAUCAGCCACACGGGCACUGAGACACGGGCCCGACUCCUACGGGAGGCAGCAGUAAGGAAUAUUGGGCAAUGGACGAAAGUCUGACCCAGCCAUGCCGCGUGGAGGAUGAAGGUCCUCUGGAUUGUAAACUUCUUUUUUCUGGGGCGAAAACCGGUUUUUCUAAACCAUUUGACAGUACCAGAAGAAUAAGCACCGGCUAACUCCGUGCCAGCCGCCGCAGUAAAAC
rnacentral:rRNA from 1 species